CCCAGACUGGAGUGCAGUGGUGCGAUCUCGGCUCACUGCAAACUCUGCCUCCCUGGUUCAAGCGAUUCUCCUGCCUCAGCCUCCUGAGUAGCUGGGAUUACAGGCACCUGCCACCACACCCAGCUAAUUUUUGUAUUUUUAGUAGAGACAGAGUUUUACCAUGUUGGCCAGGCUGGUCUCAAACUCCUGACCUCGUGAUCUACCUGCUUCUGCCUCCCAAAGUGCUGGGAUUACAGGCAUGAGCCACUGCACCCAGCCAGUUCAGUGAUUUUAGUACCUCGUAGAGUUGUGCAACCACCACGACUGUCUAGUUCCAGAAGAUUCCAUCACCGCAAGAAGAAGCCCCAUCAGCUGUCACUCAUCCCCUCUGCCAGCCCCCGGCACCCACACAUCCCCUUCCUGCCUCUGUGGAUGGGCCUGUUGUGGACAUUUCAUAUAAAGGGGAUCACACACUGUGUGUCCUUCUGUGUCUGGCGUCUUUCACUGAGCAUGACAUCCUCAAGGUGCAUCCGCGCUGUGGCUGGGGCAGAGCCUUGCUCCUUUUCACGCCUGUAAUCCCAGCUACUCAGGAGGCUGAGGCAGGAGAAUCUAUACAACCCAGGAGGCGGAGGUUGCAAUGAGCUGAGAUCAUGCCACUGCCCUCCAGCCUGGGCGACAGAGCGAGACUCUGUCUCAAACAAAAACAACAACAACAAACACCGAUCAGGGCUGGGCUGGCGCACGCUUUGUAUUGAGUGGUGUCUUCCUCUUUGUAGCCUCUGUGGUUGGCCCAAAGGUAAGUCCCCACCCUGAUCCCUAGAAUGUGACAUUUGCCUUAUUUGGAAAAAGAGUCUCAAUAUAUUGACACCAUGAAGAUCUGAACGAUAUGGAGAAGAUUGUCCUGGGGCAUCCUAAACGCGGUCACAAUACGGAGACAGGAGGAGAUUUCACACAGGCAGACGAGGAGGCUGCAGUGCGACCACAGAGACCGAGACGGGAGUGAUGUGGCCGCAGGCCAAGCACACCUGGAGCCUUCAAAAGCUGGGAGAGGCAGGAAGGAGCCCCAGGGCCUCUGGAGGGAGCGAGGCCUCCACACACCUUGACUUCAGCCCCGCAGUCCUGAUUUUGGACUUUUCAUUUCCAGAAAUGUAAGAAAAUGAACGUUGCUUUAAGGCACCGAGUUUGUGGUAAUUUGUCACAGGGGCUCCAGGGACCUGGGCCAUCCCCUUCCAUCUAGCGAUUCUCGACUCUGUGGGGUUUGCUUGGUUGGGUUUUGUUUUGUUUUGUUUUUAGACAGAGUCUCGCUCUGUCGCCCAGGCCGGAGGGCAGUGGUGUGAUCUCGGCUCCCUGCAACCUCCGCCUCCCGGGUUCAAGUGAUUCUUCUGCCUCAGCCUCCUGAAUAGCUGGGAUUACAGGCACCCACCAUGCCCGGCUAAUUUUUGUUAUUUUUAUUGGAGAUGAGGGUUUCACCAUGUUAGCCAGGCUGGUCUCCAGCUCCCGGCCUCAGGGGAUCCGCCCGCCUCGGCCUCCCGUAGUGCUGGGAUGACAGGCGGGAGCCACCACGCCCGGCCAGAUAUAUGGUUUCCCACUUUUGAUGGUGAUAUUAAGUCUCUUCGUAAAACUUAAGCAAGAAAAAUAAUUAAUGUUGUAUUUAUUAAUUUAUUUUUGAGACGGAGUCUCGCUCUGUCGUUCAGGCUGGAGUGCAGCGGCGAGAUCUCAGCUCACUGCAACCUCAGUCUCUUGGAUUCAAGCAUUUCUCUUACCUCAGCCUCCCAAGUAGCUGGGAUUACAGGCACCACCCACUACCACGUCCGGCUAAUUUUUGAAUUUUUAGUGGAGACAGGGUUUCACCACGUUGGCCAGGCCAGUCUCGAACUCCUGACCUCAGGGGAUCUGCCUGCCUCAGCCUCCCAAAGUGCUGGAAUUACAGGCAUGAGCCACCAUGACCAGCCAAUAUUGCAUUUACUUAAUACAGGAGUGGUGGAGACAGAUGUAGUUAAAAUAAAUGGUGGGGCUGGGGGGUGGUGGCGGCUACAGAGUUGCGAGGCUGGAAUUUGGGCAAUGAGCUGUUUCAGAAACUGCUGUCUUAUUCCAAAACCCAGAUUAUGUUCUUUUUUUUUUGAGACAGGGUCUCGCUCUGUCGCCCAGGCUGGAGUGCAGUGGCUCAAUCACAGCUCACUGCAGCCUCUGCCUCCUGGCUCAAGCAAUUCUACAUCUUCCCACCUCAGCCUCCCAAGUAG
rnacentral:lncRNA from 1 species